ensembl:misc_RNA Metazoa_SRP Metazoan signal recognition particle RNA
GCCAGGCAUGGUGGCGGGCACCUGUAAUCCCAGCUACUCGGGAGGCUAAGGCGGGAGGAUUGCCUGAGCCCGGGAGGUUGAGGCUGCAGUGAGCUGAGAUCAUGCCACUGCACUCCAGCCUGGGCAAUAUAGCAAGACCCUGUCUUUU